GCCAGAUGUGAUAGCAUGUGCCUGUAAUCCCAGCUAUUCAGGAGGCUAAGGCAGGAGGAUCGCUUGAGCCCUAGAGUUCUGGGCUGUAGUGCACUAUGUGGAUCGGCUGUCCGCACUCAGUUUGGCAUCAAUAUGGUGACCUCCUGGGAGCAAGGGACCACGAGGUUGCCUAAAGAUGGGUGAACUGGUCACGGUCGAAAAUGGAGCAGGUCAAAACUUCUAUGCUGAUCAGUAACAGGAUUGUGCCUAUGAAUAACCACUGCACUCAAGCCUGGGCAACAUAGCGAGACUCUGGUCUCUU
rnacentral:SRP_RNA from 2 species